CAGUAACAAUUGUUUUAAAAAAAACUUUAUUUCCAAACUGAGAGCAAAGAAAGGGAAGUACUGAAUAAAUAUGUAACUAUAACAAAACGCAUAGUUGCUAUAUAAGGAUCGCAUCCAUAGGUUCUACAUAUGUGCUGUUGUGAAUUUGCAUCAGUAGUUCUUUUGGUGUAGUUUGAUGGGACCAUAAAUGGUUAUGUGGAAGAGAAGAUGAUUUUCCCCCAGACUGAGCGUGGCAGCUGUGCCAUCCUACCCUUCAUGACAACCACUAUCAACAGCAUUAGGAGGCCUGUAAACAGCCUAACUAAAAAGCACCGCAGAGUCAAUUCUUUUAGUCAAAGAGCACAUUACCAGUGGGCAUCAUCACAGGAGGGAGAGAGGUGAUCGAGGAAGAGCUCUGCAGGCUUCCACUGCACCAUACUUUACGAGCCAAAUUCAUUUCAAAUUCUCUGAAGCUGAUUAAAUUCCAUCUUUGAGGCCCUGUAGAUCUUGCAAACUAAAGCCCUGAUCCUCCAAAUAGAUGUAACAGCACAUAACCUGAUGUCCAGAUAGCACCUGACUGAUAUUCCUACAAAUUUGAGUGGUUUCAGUGUUCUCAGGGUAAAUUUGCAAAAUUGGCUUCUGUUUUUUUUUAAUACUUGCUUUUAAAUUAAAAAAUAAGUAUAUCUGUCUGGUGCACCGAAGAUUUCCCUACCAGAAAUACUUAUCUGGGAGAGCACACACUCACUGGCAAACAGCUGCUUUUAAGUAGGAGUUUUCAAGCUCAAGGGAAACUGUUGUUCCCUCUCUGGUGGGUUGCAGGGGAAACCCAAAUAAUGAUGAAUGGCAAAGAAAUGGAACAAUGACCAAUUUGUCUGGCUGUCAGAGGAAACUGCCACAGAAGUGGCUACACUGCCAUCUUGUCAGGUUUUCCAGUAAAUGGAGUGAGAAAGUAGAAGAGGAAGAAGGUCAAGUUGCUUAUAUGAAAAACAGAACCACUACAGCCACCUGGACCAAGGCUAUUGCUGGAGAACAGAGAGCAGGGACAGAUCUCUGCCAUUCCCGGCUUUUCUCUUGGGUUCCAGCAGGUAUCUGGGGACCAGCAUGCUUGUCACUGGUGCCAGCGAUGGUGUUCCAGUGUUCACACAAGACUUGGCACAUACAGGGCUAACGGGUCUCAGUGGUAGUGUGCCAGCCGGGAGAUGUUGUCUUCGGGCCACUGACAGCUUAAAGGUGAACAGUUUAAAGAUUAUUUUAUCUGGGGUUGUGCUGCUAACAGCAGCUGUUAGCUGGCAAUCUCUUUUUCUUCAUUCCAAGGUCCAGAGUUGAAUGGGUUCUCCAUUGAAGGUGGACUUUGUGUCCAAAGACAGGUCUGUAGUUGAUGCUCCCAGUCCUUUUACUCUUUUUAGCCUACAGUCUGCAUGCAGAUAGAGCAUUUCUCAAGGAUGUGUUCACCCAGGAUGUGUAAAUAAUAAGAGCAAGAGAACAAGGUGGAGAAUAGAAUGGGGAAUUUGACAGCAUGAAGGAUGCCUCCCAAAGUAAAGAGCAGCUUCUGGGCCCAAAGUCUGGGAAUUUAAGGGAAGAUCUGAGGAUACUCAGAAAGAAGUUAUAAUGUACAAGGUACAUUAGAAAAAUCACAUUUUGCCAAGUGGACGUACACAAUUAAAUAUUUCCCUAUGACUAUGAGAGCACAUUUUUAACAGUUUUCAGUGACUCCCUUUUUGCCUGUAUCCCUGCCUCUUAACACGUGAAAUCUCUGCUUACGAAGAAAAUGGCAAAAUAAACUGUUCCCAAGAGUUAUAUUCA
ensembl:lncRNA